AAGAGUCCCAAGGGCUCAGCAGAGGGGCCAGAUAGAAGGGCUACAUUUGACCCCUGGGCCUGAGGUUCCCUAGGCCUGAAAUAAACAUUAUUGUUCUGUUAAGACCUUGGUGUCUCUGCCUGAUUCCUGACUCCGAAGACAGAUUGGAAGGUAAACCAUCUGUGUUGAUUUGCUAGGAGGAGAAAAGUUCCAUCGAGGGCUUAUCAAACUCACAACAAUGAGGAAGCAAAUAAUAACCACGAAAGGAGGAACACAAAGGCUUGCUUUAAAGUCAAGUCUCCUGUACACAAUGCACGGAAGUGCUUCGCUUCGGAGGGAUAAAGGGAUCUAAGAAGUGAAACAAAGAAAGGUUCCAUGGUUUCAGUCGUUUCUGCAAGGUCAACGUCUCAUCCGCAUAUCUAACCCUAGGACUGUUUGAUUGUGUGCCCAUUUAUCAUUCGGGAAAGAAGGAAGGGCAUGCAAAACGAAGAAGUGUAAGGGCCCUUGCUCUUGCUAUAGGUCCUCAGUCAUGCUGGGGCCACAGAUUUAUCUUAAAGGCAUGGAAAAUUGUUUUAGUUUUUGGGGCAAGGAGCUUGCCAUGAAUUUUCUUAAUAAUUGAUAGUCUACUUACAUGCA